AACUGAUUAGAAGCUUGCUUCUAUGACGUUAGCGGCGGACGGGUGAGUAACACGUGGGCAACCUGCCUGUAAGACUGGGAUAACUUCGGGAAACCGAAGCUAAUACCGGAUAGGAUCUUCUCCUUCAUGGGAGAUGAUUGAAAGAUGGUUUCGGCUAUCACUUACAGAUGGGCCCGCGGUGCAUUAGCUAGUUGGUGAGGUAACGGCUCACCAAGGCAACGAUGCAUAGCCGACCUGAGAGGGUGAUCGGCCACACUGGGACUGAGACACGGCCCAGACUCAUACGGGAGGCAGCAGUAGGGAAUCUUCCGCAAUGGACGAAAGUCUGACGGAGCAACGCCGCGUGAGUGAUGAAGGCUUUCGGGUCGUAAAACUCUGUUGUUAGGGAAGAACAAGUACGAGAGUAACUGCUCGUACCUUGACGGUACCUAACCAGAAAGCCACGGCUAACUACGUGCCAGCAGCCGCGGUAAUACGUAGGUGGCAAGCGUUAUCCGGAAUUAUUGGGCGUAAAGCGCGCGCAGGCGGUUUCUUAAGUCUGAUGUGAAAGCCCACGGCUCAACCGUGGAGGGUCAUUGGAAACUGGGGAACUUGAGUGCAGAAGAGAAAAGCGGAAUUCCACGUGUAGCGGUGAAAUGCGUAGAGAUGUGGAGGAACACCAGUGGCGAAGGCGGCUUUUUGGUCUGUAACUGACGCUGAGGCGCGAAAGCGUGGGGAGCAAACAGGAUUAGAUACCCUGGUAGUCCACGCCGUAAACGAUGAGUGCUAAGUGUUAGAGGGUUUCCGCCCUUUAGUGCUGCAGCUAACGCAUUAAGCACUCCGCCUGGGG
rnacentral:rRNA from 2 species